AGAUGGGAUGAGAAAAGAGAAGUGUCCUGCACUGCAAGCAGCCUCCUGUUCAACAUUUAUUCUUUGCUAGUCUGGAGUCAGCUCUGGUGGAUGAAGAAGGCUGAUGACUGUAAGAUGUUUGACAGAAUCAAGCCAUCUGAUGAAGCUUCUGCUUCUUCAACACAAGGAGUUGAAAGACAUGGUGUUGAAGGCUCACUACGACAGGACAGCAAUAGCAGUUUACACACAAGAGGGCAAGAACAUUCUCAGCCUGGAGUAUCCACUGUGCAGAACAGACAAGGAUACUGCAGCUGUUGCCAUGUACACUACAGUAAUCUGGAACAGCAUGUUUUCAGCUCGCAGCACAGACAUUUUACCACUUACUGUAGGAAUCGUAUGGGUACCAGUAGCCUAAUGGAACGGUUCCUGCAAGAUGUUUUACAGCAUCAUCCCCACAGAUACCAUGACAACAGG